CCUACGGGUGGCUGCAGUGGGGAAUAUUGGACAAUGGGCGAAAGCCUGAUCCAGCCAUGCCGCGUGUGUGAAGAAGGCCUUCGGGUUGUAAAGCACUUUCAGUGGGGAAGAAAGCCUUAGGGCUAAUACCCUCGAGGAAGGACAUCACCCACAGAAGAAGCACCGGCUAACUCCGUGCCAGCAGCCGCGGUAAUACGGAGGGUGCGAGCGUUAAUCGGAAUUACUGGGCGUAAAGCGCGCGUAGGCGGUCUGAUAAGCCGGUUGUGAAAGCCCCGGGCUCAACCUGGGAACGGCAUCCGGAACUGUCAGGCUAGAGUGCAGGAGAGGAAGGUAGAAUUCCCGGUGUAGCGGUGAAAUGCGUAGAGAUCGGGAGGAAUACCAGUGGCGAAGGCGGCCUUCUGGACUGACACUGACGCUGAGGUGCGAAAGCGUGGGUAGCAAACAGGAUUAGAUACCCUAGUAGUC
rnacentral:rRNA from 1 species